rnacentral:rRNA from 1 species
UGGGGAAUAUUGGACAAUGGGCGCAAGCCUGAUCCAGCCAUGCCGCGUGAGUGAUGAAGGCCCUAGGGUUGUAAAGCUCUUUUGUGCGGGAAGAUAAUGACGGUACCGCAAGAAUAAGCCCCGGCUAACUUCGUGCCAGCAGCCGCGGUAAUACGAAGGGGGCUAGCGUUGCUCGGAAUCACUGGGCGUAAAGGGUGCGUAGGCGGGUCUUUAAGUCAGGGGUGAAAUCCUGGAGCUCAACUCCAGAACUGCCUUUGAUACUGAAGAUCUUGAGUUCGGGAGAGGUGAGUGGAACUGCGAGUGUAGAGGUGAAAUUCGUAGAUAUUCGCAAGAACACCAGUGGCGAAGGCGGCUCACUGGCCCGAUACUGACGCUGAGGCACGAAAGCGUGGGGAGCAAA